UGUUUACUAUCUGGCCCUCUAUAGAAAA
rnacentral:piRNA from 1 species